GGCUGCCUAGACCAUCAUCCACUUUGCCCAAAUGGCGUCUUUCCGUUGUUCUGUAGAUUGAAGGUAUCCGUCAAAACAGGAUGGAUCUGAAUCCAGCUGCCAUCAUAGUCGCUCGAAGAACGCAUGAUCCGAUCCAAAACCUUCUGCCAUCAACGCUCAUGGCCGCCGAUAUGGAUACUGUUGCCGUGAUUGCAUCCAAACCCUCCGAGCUUGCACUUUUCAUCUAGUUUAACAGGCUUUUCCCCAAGUCCUGAUUCAUCGUCCCGUGGGAUUGAUGUUCAUAGGAUCAUCGGAAGCGCGAUCUUGUUGAUGUCUGCCAAUUGAGAAGAGAAUGGAAAGCUGCAGAAUAUCCUGCGAAGAUUUGUUUGGACAUACCUUAGCUCUUCAGGUAAUUGCAAAGCAAUUUGAGAACAGAGGCCAGAUGCAUAUGCCAAGGUUUGCUCAGUGAUUGGCCCCUCAAUUUAUGGUCAUUCUGGUGUCAAGGAAGCUAUUGCAUACUUGUUAUUUGGGGGAUCUAAGAAGAGGCUACCUGAUGGUGUACAUUUGAGGGGACAUUCUUGUCUUGCUUCUGGGUGAUCCAUUCACAGCAAAAUCACAGG